rnacentral:sRNA from 1 species
GGGUGCCACAAAGAUUGCGCCUUUGCCUCUAUGAUUCGAGUGAUUAAUUGGUCGAGUAGUUGCUUCUUCCUCUCCUCUUCUUAUGCUCAACUGUCUGGUUGAGUGGGGAAUGAGGAGGAUCUAAAGGCUCUUUGAUCGCUCAACAAGUCAGAGGUAGAGUAGAGGAUCGAGUAGAGGGUCGAGUGAUUGUCUACUGCUUCCUCUAUAGCUGCUUUGAUAGAGUGACUGGUCGAGUAGCUGCUCUGCUGCUUCCCUUCUGGUAAUGAUAGAAUAGUGGGUUGAGUAAACUGCUUUUACACCUGAAAACACACCAAAACAUGCAAUAAGUAUGCAGACUGAUCUCGUGUUUUCUUGUAGCGCAAGAUCGUUGGAACCAUCAUCGACGCUGAAAUGGAAGUGAUGGUCAUGGCGCUGAAGGAACCCUUCGGUGUGACCAAGAACAACACUGUGUUGGUAGGUGACAAGUCUAACUCUUGUGCUGUUUUCUUCUUGCUGUGCCACCUCUAGAGCUACAAGGCAUGUGAUAUGUCUAUAAUUUGCAUGUUUUCAGUGUUCAUUCAUCAUCGUUUUGAGUCCAGUUUAUAUCAUUCAUCACUAUUUUAUAUCAUUUCUCAUCAUUCUUGCAUACUUUGCAUGAUUAUGAUAGCUUUGCAUACAUAUUGCAUUUCUGAGUUGUUUUCAGGUGAUUUGACCUGUUUGCGAGCAAAUUGGAAGAAGCGAGCCAGAACCAGAAGACAUACUUGACCCCCUGGUCGAGUAUCAUCACUCACCACCAACACCAUCACUCGACCAAGCACUCGAUCACAUCUUCAUAAUCUACUCAAAUCCGCACUCAACCAGACAAGCUAAGCACAAGGAAGAGAAGAGGAGAAGAAGAAGUGUUUGGAAGCGGCCUGGAGCUCCACCGGAUCACGAAGCCCAUCUCGGCCCAUUAUCACUCUAUGGGCCGGGCGAUUAGGUUACUGGCCCGUCUACUAUCAUUUUAUUUCGUUUUCUAUAAAUAGGUGUCAGAGGGUUUUGUCCUGGGACAUCUAGUCGACAUUGAGUUUUUGCUUCUGUUUUAUUUUCUGUUUUACUCUGGUUGCGCCGCUGUUGCUUCUGCAACCUGUAAUUCGAGAUUUUUCCAAGUUAUUCAGAUUCCGCAUUUGAUUUUACCUGUCAUCUUGUUUCUCUACUCUUUAUCUCUUUACUUAUGCAAUAUA